rnacentral:rRNA from 1 species
GACAGAGGUGCCGAGCGUUAGGCGGAAUCACUGGGCUUAAAGCGUGUGUAGGCGGAUCGUUAAGUACCUUGUGAAAUCCCACGGCUUAACCGUGGAACUGCUUGGUAUACUGGCGGUCUUGAGCCAGCUAGGGGCUACCGGAACAAAUGGUGGAGCGGUGAAAUGCGUAGAUAUCAUUUGGAACGCCAAUGGUGAAAACAGGUAGCUGGGGCUGUGCUGACGCUGAGACACGAAAGCCAGGGGAGCAAACGGG